UUUAAUCGGUUUGGUUUCUAGGUCACCCCAGUACCUAGGUCACUUCACCAUCAUCAAAAUCUAAGAGGCAAUGGCGCAAAAUCAGAUAUGAAUUUAAUCAAUCCGUCAAAUUAAAAACAGGGGGAAUGAUUUACCUUCUUUUGCAGUUUGAAUCAGUGACGACAAAAGCGAGUAAAGAACUCGGAUCGGUGACGACAACAUCCAGCGACGAGAUGGACGGCCUUGAUGCAAGAGGCGGCGAUGGUGACUUGGAGAUCAUCAACCACCGAGAGCAACCAGCUGUUGGCGGCAGCUUCAGCUCAGGAGGUAGAGACUCUGUUGAUCUGACAUGAUAGUAGCCGACAACAACUAAAAAUGGUGACACUAGAUCGAGGGAUUUGAUAGGCGGCGAGUCUUCAUUUUUUUAAUUCUAGGGUUUAGUUAUAGUUUAUGGAAAAUUAAUAGAGAGGAGAUGAAGAGGAGAAGGAGGAGAAGAAGAGAGAAAGAAAAGGAGAAGAGAAGGAGGAGCGACGAUGGCGGCGCCAUCGCUGAAGAGAAAACGGAGAAAAUAAGAAGGGCAGAAAAAGAAGAAGGGGAGAAAAAGAAGAGAGGAGAAGGAUAAUGAGAAGAGAGGAGAAGAAGAGAGAAAAAAGGGGAGGAGCGGUGGCGACGCUGCUGCCGCAGCCGGAAAAAAGAGAAGAGGAGACGUAGAGAGGGAGAGAAGAAAGAGGGAGGAGAAAAGGAAGAGAGAAUUGAAGGAGAAAGUUUAGAGGAGAGAGAGAGAGAGAGAGUGAAAAAUGAGUAAAAAAUGUUUUAAAUGGUUUUUAUACGAUCC
rnacentral:lncRNA from 1 species